UACGAAGGGGGCUAGCGUUGUUCGGAUUUACUGGGCGUAAAGCGCACGUAGGCGGAUCGAUCAGUCAGGGGUGAAAUCCCAGGGCUCAACCCUGGAACUGCCUUUGAUACUGUCGAUCUGGAGUAUGGAAGAGGUGAGUGGAAUUCCGAGUGUAGAGGUGAAAUUCGUAGAUAUUCGGAGGAACACUAGUGGCGAAGGCGGCUUCCUGGUCUGCGACUGACGCUGUGGCGCGAAAGCUAGGGGAGCGAACGGG
rnacentral:rRNA from 1 species